rnacentral:rRNA from 1 species
AGUGAACGCUGGCGGCAGGCCUAACACAUGCAAGUCGAGCGGCAGCGGGUCCUUCGGGAUGCCGGCGAGCGGCGGACGGGUGAGGAAUACAUCGGAAUCUGCCCUGUCGUGGGGGAUAACCUAGGGAAACUUAGGCUAAUACCGCAUACGACCUACGGGUGAAAGCGGGGGAUCGCAAGACCUCGCGCGACAGGAUGAGCCGAUGUCCGAUUAGCUAGUUGGCGGGGUAAAGGCCCACCAAGGCGACGAUCGGUAGCUGGUCUGAGAGGGUGAUCAGCCACACUGGGACUGAGACACGGCCCAGACUCCUACGGGAGGCAGCAGUGGGGACUAUUGGACAAUGGGCGCAAGCCUGAUCCAGCCAUGCCGCGUGGGUGAAGAAGGCCUUCGGGUUGUAAAGCCCUUUUGUCCGGGAAGAAAUCGUCUGGGCUAAUACCCCGGGCGGAUGACGGUACCGGAAGAAUAAGCACCGGCUAACUUCGU